rnacentral:rRNA from 1 species
CCUACGGUGGGCAGCAGUAGGGAAUAUUGCUCAAUGGGCGAAACCCUGAAGCAGCAACGCCGCGUGAAGGAUGAAGGUUUUCCGAGUGUUAACUCCUUUUGAUAGAGAAGUUAAUGACGGUAUCUAACGAAUAAGCACCGGCUAACUCCGUGCCAGCAGCCGCGGUAAUACGGAGGGUGCAAGCGUUACUCGGAUUCACUGGGCGUAAAGCGCGCGUAGGCGGGUUAGCAAGUCAGUUGUGAAAUCCUAUGGCUUAACCAUAGAACUGCAUUUGAAACUGUUAUUCUUGAGUAUGGGUGAGGUAGGUGGAAUUCGUGGUGUAGGGGUAAAAUCCGUAGAGAUCAAGAGGAAUACUCAUUGCGAAGGCGACCUGCUAGACCAUAACUGACGCUGAUGCGCGAAAGCGUGGGGAGCAAACAGGAUUAGAUACCCCUGUAGUC